rnacentral:rRNA from 1 species
GAUGAACGCUGGCGGUAUGCUUAACACAUGCAAGUCGAACGGACUCUUCGGAGUUAGUGGCGGACGGGUGAGUAACGCGUGAGAAUCUGGCUUUGGGUUCGGGACAACCACUGGAAACGGUGGCUAAUACCGGAUGUGCCGAGAGGUAAAAGAGAAAUUGCCUGAAGAUGAGCUCGCGUCUGAUUAGCUAGUUGGUGAGGUAAAGGCUCACCAAGGCAGCGAUCAGUAGCUGGUCUAAGAGGAUGACCAGCCACACUGGGACUGAGACACGGCCCAGACUCCUACGGGAGGCAGCAGUGGGGAAUUUUCCGCAAUGGGCGAAAGCCUGACGGAGCAAUACCGCGUGAGGGAAGAAGGCUCUUGGGGUGUAAACCUCUUUUCUUAGGGAAGAACAAAAUGACGGUACCUAAGGAAUCAGCAUCGGCUAACUCCGUG